UACACGUUUUGGAACUUCAUCCCAAAGAAUAUGUUCGAGCAGUUCAGAAGAGUUGCCAACUUCUAUUUUCUCGUCAUAUUUUUGGUUCAGCUGAUCAUCGACACUCCCACAAGUCCAAUCACCAGUGGACUCCCGCUUUUCUUUGUCAUCACAGUCACCGCCAUUAAGCAGGGUUAUGAAGACUGGUUGAGACAUAAAGCAGACAAUGCCGUCAACAAGUGUCCUGUCCAUGUGGUGCAGGAUGGGAAAGUGACCUGCAAGCAAAGUCGCAAGCUCAGGGUCGGGGAUGUGGUUUUUGUAACAGAAGAUGAGACUUUUCCGUGUGAUCUCAUUCUUCUAUCCUCGUCUCGGGACGACGGGACGUGUUUUGUUACCACAGCCAGCCUGGAUGGUGAGAGCAGCCACAAGACCUACUAUGCAGUUCAGGACACCAAAGCUUACAAAACGGAGGAGGAGGUCAGCUCCAUACAUGCCACWAUAGAGUGUGAACAACCUCAGUCGGAUCUGUACAAAUUUGUGGGUCGUAUUAAUAUCUAUAUGAACAAUGAGCCAGUGGCCAGGCCGUUGGGAUCAGAGAACCUGCUGCUCCGAGGAGCYACACUCAAGAACACUGAAUAUAUUUAUGCUGUUGCCAUCUACACUGGUAUGGAAACCAAGAUGGCUCUCAACUAUCAGUCCAAGUCUCAGAAACGAUCUGCAGUGGAGAAGUCGAUGAAUGACUACCUGGUGGUCUACCUGUGUAUCCUCAUCAGCAAAGCCAUCAUCAACACGGCGCUGAAGUACGUUUGGCAGGCCGAUCCGAACAGAGACGAGCCCUGGCACAAUGAGAGGACGGAAGCCGAGAGGCAGAGACACAUCCUGAUCAGGGCGUUCACCGACUUCCUGGCAUUCAUGGUCCUCUUCAAUUACAUCAUUCCUGUCUCCAUGUACGUCACCGUGGAGAUGCAGAAGUUUCUGGGCUCCUACUUCAUCUUGUGGGACGAUGAGAUGUUCGACGAGGAGCUGGGGGAGAGAGCGGUCGUCAACACGUCGGACCUGAACGAGGAGCUGGGACAGGUGGAAUAUGUUUUUACAGACAAGACGGGGACUCUGACAGAGAACAAUAUGGAGUUUAUAGAGUGCUGUGUGGACGGACAUGUUUAUGUGCCUCAUGCCAUCUGUAAUGGACAGGUGAUGCCUGGUUCUGACACCAUUGACAUGAUCGACACGUCUCCAGGACCCGAUGCCAGGGAUCGUGAGGAGCUGUUCUUCCGCGCCGUGUGUCUGUGCCACACGGUGCAGGUGAAGGAAGAGGAGACAGUGGACGGAAUUAAACACGGCAUCCACCAGGGCAAGUCCUCCUCCUUCUACAUCUCCUCCUCUCCUGACGAGGUGGCCCUGGUGGAGGGGAUGAAUAGACUUGGCUUCACCUAUCUGAGGCAGAAAGACAGUCAUAUGGAAAUCUUAAAUAGGGACGAUAAGGUAGAAAGAUUCGAGGUGCUAGAAGUUUUGUCUUUUGAUUCGGUGAGACGAAGAAUGAGUGUCAUCGUCAGGUGCAGCACAGGUGAAGUGUAUCUGUUCUGUAAGGGUGCAGACUCCUCCAUCUUCCCCAGAGUUAUCUCAGGCAAGGUGGAUCAGGUCAAGGCACGGGUGGAGCACAACGCAGUGGAAGGCCUGAGGACGCUCUGUGUUGCUUAUCGGUGCCUGAGCCCUGAACAGUACCAGGAGGUCUGCCAUCUGCUGAGCAGGGCCAAGUUGGCGCUGCAGGACCGAGACAGACAGCUGGCCGAGGCUUACGACCUCAUCGAGAAAGACCUGAUACUGCUGGGAGCUACUGCUGUGGAGGACAGGCUGCAGGAGAAAGCAGCCGACACCAUUGAGUCCCUCCACAAAGCUGGCAUGAAGGUGUGGGUGCUGACCGGAGAUAAGAUGGAGACCGCAUCUGCUACGUGCUACGCCAGCAAGCUGUUUCGCCGCAACACCCAGAUCCUGGAGCUGACCACCAAGCGCACGGAGGAGCAGAGCCUUCACGACGUCCUGUUUGACCUGAGCAGGACAGUGCUCAGGCAUUACGGGGGKAUGACGCGAGAAACCUCCUCUGGUUUAUCUGACGACUACACCGACUUUGGCCUGAUAAUCGACGGAGCCACCCUCACGGCAGUUAUGAGACCAGGCCAGGAGGGCUCCAACUCAGGGAACUACAAAGAGCUCUUCCUAGAUAUCUGCCGCAACUGCAGCGCCGUGCUCUGCUGUCGAAUGGCGCCGCUUCAGAAAGCGCAGAUCGUCAAGAUGAUCAAAACAUCCAAAGAACAUCCGAUCACUCUCGCUAUUGGAGACGGUGCUAAUGAUGUCAGCAUGAUCCAGGAGGCCCAUGUUGGCAUCGGUAUCAUGGGUAAGGAGGGUCGUCAGGCRGUUAGAAACAGCGACUACGCCAUCCCAAAGUUUAAACACCUCAAAAAGAUGCUGCUGGUCCACGGACACUAUUACUACAUACGAGUCUCUGAGCUUGUGCAAUACUUCUUCUACAAGAAUGUCGUUUUCAUCUUCCCACAGUUCCUCUACCAGUUCUUUUGUGGCUUCUCCCAACAGCCUCUCUAUGACACCGCCUACCUGACUCUCUACAACAUCAGCUUCACCUCGCUGCCCAUUCUCCUCUACAGCCUCAUCGAGCAGCACAUUAAUGCCGACAUUCUGAAGAAGGAUCCCUCUCUUUAUAAAGAUAUUGCAAAGAACUCCUUGCUGAAGUGGUCCAGCUUUAUUUACUGGACUGCCCUGGGUAUAUAUGAUGCCAUUGUGAUGUUCUUUGGUGCUUACUUCCUGUUUGACAACACAACUUUUACCAGCAAUGGACAGCUAAUGACAACCAACACACAGAUGAUGUUUGGAAACUGGACAUUUGGGACUUUGGUCUUCACUGUGCUCGUCUUCACUGUUACUUUCAAGCUGGCUCUAGAUACACAUUACUGGACCUGGAUCAACCAUUUUGUCAUCUGGGGGUCGCUACUUUUCUUCGUGGUUUUCUCUCUACUUUGGGGAGGAAUCAUCUGGCCUUUUCUGAACUACCAGAGGAUGUACUACGUGUUCAUGCAGAUGUUGUCCAGCGGUCCUGCCUGGCUCAGUAUAAUCCUCCUGAUAACGACCUGCCUGCUGCCAGAUGUGGUGAAGAAGGUCAUCUGCAGGGCGCUGUGGCCCACCACCACUGAACGCAUCCAGAARGCUGACAAACUUUACAAGGGCCAGCUGUCGGAGUUCACCCCGCUGGCGUCCCUCCACCACCAACCGAAGGCCGGCGGCCUCCAGCGAGGCUCGGAAAACCAAAGGAACGCCGCACACCCCCGAAGGUCUGACACCCCCAUCAAGAAAGUCAUGUACACACGCUGGCAGAGAUCAACAAAUUACUGCACCUUCACCCCACUCCCGCUGUUCGCAAAUGGCUCAAAGCGGGACAGUGCUUACGGUGGGGCGGAAUCAGAAACCUCCGUUUGAUUUUUUUUUUAAAUUAAUUAUUUUGCUGUUUUCCCAUCAUUUAUUUUUGGAGAUAUUCUCAAUUGGAGCGAAACUGAACAAAAAGAAGUUCAGGCAUGUUGUGGAGGUGCCUGGGAACCUCCCCUUACUGAGCUGGAGUUGAACAACAGCCUGAGUUUUUGGACAGCAGGGGAUCUUUUUCAGGCUGCUACCAGUGAAGUGUGGCACAAUGCAUCAUGGGACGGAUUUCCAACCAUCCRGCAUCUCCACGACUCCUAAAGGGCUCAGUGUAUUUACAUCACCACAGUCUGAAAAACUGAUUUUAGUGCUAAAAUACACGCUCUGGUCCAUUUUACAAUCAUUUGCCUUCAGCGGCUGCUAAAGUGUUCUAUAACUUUUAUCAUUUUUUUACGUUUACGUGAUGGUGUUGAGGCUGGAAUGACGAUGAUGAUGGUGAACAAACACGUUCUUGUUUUCUGCUCACGUCUCUCAUGUCUCAUUUCUGUCUGCCUGCUUUGCCUCUUGUAGGACCAACCGGUGUUGCCUGUGUGCAAACAUGUUGUCCCGAAACGCUCCGUAGGACUCGGCCCUCACAUCACUCAGUCUCUCUUUUGUUCACGCUCCUUCUGCUGAUGUGAUGUGGAAGGUCUCCAUCAUCAUCAUCAUCGUCAUCAUCAUCACCAUCACCAUCUAGUCAUCUUUCCUUCCUGCAUCUUUUACGUAACCCCAUCUCUCCAUCCACCAUGAGACAGAGCAGAAACUCUUUAAUAGUACCUCUAUGAACCAAAGCCUUGUUGCUGCUACAGUAGAGAUACUUUUAGCUGCUUGACAUUAGGUGCCUUGUGUUAGUCUGUUACAUGUUAAAUCGCUUUACGGUGAAUUUACUACUUUUAGGGAGCGUUUAAACGGGACGAAGGCUCUGCAGUUGAUGGAUGCACUGGGAGGAGAYUGGAAACAAAAUAAUGAAUGUAAAAAAAACGUGUUGCUGUGGAUUGUUGUCAUGGGCUUUAAACAAGUAGAAAAUGAUGCGCAGUCGAUCAAAUCUACACAAAAACAUGACAAACUUCAGUUUGUUUUUUGAUUUUAUAUUUUUGUUACAGAUGUUUGUUUUUGAAAUGUGGUUUCUAGUUGUUUAAGAGAAGUCUUUGCUGCUACAAAGUGGGAUUUUUCUUUUACUUCAAAAAACAAAACCGUGAGGAUAGUUCAGAUCUUUGAAGUGGUCUUGUGUAAUUUGGACACAUUUGUUUCAUUCUGACUGGAUUGAUGAGCUGAUGGCUGAUCUGACCAAAGUGGAUUGCAAGGAUGUAUAAAACUCGACUUUCACAUCACAUGUGUCUGACAAAAAGUGGUGGCGGCAGCAGCUAGCUCUGGCAUCUAUAGCAUGAUUAUCAUAAUAUUUCUGCUAGAAUAACCACAUCAUGUUUUCUAACUCAGCGUUUACAUGACCCAGCAUGAUGAUGUUUGAGAUUAGAGCUUCCAUAAAAUUGCACUAAUUGUUUGGUCCAAAUUCUGCUGUUAUUUCUUCAAAUGAGUUUAUUCAAAGAGCUAUCUACAGCAGGUAAGAUAUUUAUUGUUCAUAACAUUUGCACGACUUGUCUUCAGAAGAUCUGAGCUAAAGGUCUAUAAUGUUUUAGACAACUUCUAAAAAUUUAGUCCAACACUGAAAGUAGGAUAAAAAAUCUACUUGAAGACACUUUUGAAUGUUCACAUAUUAAUACAAGUAAUUCUGCUAGUGGUGUCCCAAUACCAGCAUUUUUACAAGUACUAAAAUGCCCCAGUACUCAAAAGGAUUCCAAUACCAGCAUCGAUACUGGGAUUUUGGUAUCAGUAUUUUCAUGGUUAACUUCCACUUCAAGUGAAAAGUUCCAGUUCCAUGUUUAAGAAAGCGAAUAUUACGCUAUUUUUAUUUAUUUAAAUAUUUUACAACAGUAUGUAUACAUGCUGUGWAUUUCAUUUGAUCCAGUUAGAGGGGCUGUAGGUCUAUAAGGAAGGAGAGCCACCUUGUUCUAAAUAAAAUAAAUGUGUUUUCAAAGUCACUGUGUAACAUUUAAGUUACCCAAACUGAAGUACUCGUACAUGGUUUGAGAAAAACUGGUAUUGGGACACCCCUAAUUUACACAAAACAUAAUUUUCCRAAGUCAGCAUUUGUCUAAAAUGUUACAGUGAGACGGCCUUUUACCCUUUAGUGAGCAGAUGAUUCUUCAAAACGUUUGCUUUAAUCCAAAGUUCCAAACUUGGAUUAAUAAAAUCACGUGUAAAUGUGACAAGUUUAAUUGUCUUUAAAGUUGUUAAAAUAGGAAAAACCUACCGGAGCUUUAGCUGCAGUUUUUUAACUGGACAAACAGGAACACAUUUACUGUAUAUUACGUCAGACAGCAACUAAACUUUUUGCUUUCAGUUUAGGAGCAAAGCUUCAACCGAAAGAGUUUAUUGUCAGAAACAAUUAGACAGUUUAAAUAGAAAAUUAACAGCCAGGUUUUUAUGUGUUGAACCUGYGAGAGUGUUGGCACUUAAAUCCUUUGGAAAAGAGUUUAGUUCUGUUUGUAUGCACUUCAAUUGUUUUGUAUUUUUACUUUUUGGGACAGUAUUUUUCUGUGAUGAAACAACACUGGACACGUCUGAGUUACUUGACGUACGGAGAGCUUCACYRGUUGUAAAGAAGUCUGUUUCUGUGGUGUUUGCUGCUGUUUAACCUGCACUGAGCAGUUGUGUGAGGAAUGACACGUUGCUGUAGAAACACUCAAAGCCAUGAAUCGUGGAUUUUAGGGGUUUUGUUGUUUCUGUUAGCAACGUGUUACUGUAAAGUACACGUCCUGUAAUCAGCACUAUCUACACUCAGARGCAGUAUCUACAUGUAUAAGAGCAGCAUAUAUGGAUAUAUAUUUAGGCUUAUUAUUGUACAGUUUUGGGGUCUUUUUAUAUACAGUUUUUAAUGGAAUCAUAUCAAGAUUUACUUAUGGAUUUUUGCCAAUUUUUUUUCUUUUAGCUACAAACAGCAAACGAUUGUAUAUUUGCUUGAAAUAAAAACCAGGAGUGUAAAUAUGAAA